UACAGAGGUCUCAAGCGUUGUUCGGAUUUAUUGGGUUUAAAGGGUGCGUAGGCGGACUAUUAAGUCAGUGGUGAAAGCCUGCAGCUUAACUGCAGAAUUGCCAUUGAUACUGAUGGUCUUGAGUACAAUUGAGGUGGGCGGAAUGUGUCAUGUAGUGGUGAAAUACUUAGAUAUGACACGGAACUCCGAUUGCGAAGGCAGCUCACUAAACUGUAACUGACGCUGAGGCACGAAAGCGUGGGGAUCAAACAGG
rnacentral:rRNA from 1 species